AGUGAACGCUGGCGGUAGGCCUAACACAUGCAAGUCGAACGGCAGCACAGGAGAGCCUGCUCUCUGGGUGGCGAGUGGCGGACGGGUGAGGAAUACAUCGGAAUCUACACUGUCGUGGGGGAUAACGUAGGGAAACUUACGCUAAUACCGAAUACGACCUACGGGGGAAAGCAGGGGACCUUCGGGCCUUGCGCGAUUGAAUGAGCCGAUGUCGGAUUAGCUAGUUUGUGGGGUAAAGGCCAACCAAGGCGACGAUCCGUAGCUGGUCUGAGAGGAUGAUCAGCCACACUGGAACUGAGACACGGUCCAGACGCCUACGGGAGGCAGCAGUGGGGAGUAUUGGACAAUGGGCGCAAGCCUGAUCCAGCCAUACCGCGUGGGUGAAGAAGGCCUUCGGGUUGUAAAGCCCUUUUGUUGGGAAAGAAAUCCAGCUGGCUAAUACCCGGUUGGGAUGACGGUACCCAAAGAAUAAGCACCGGCUAACUUCGUGCCAGCCGCCGCAGUAA
rnacentral:rRNA from 1 species